GACGUAAACAAUUACGUCACUCACAAAAAUAAAAAUGGUCGGUUUUGUUUUUUACUGUGUUCGGUGAAGCUAAUUUUCCGUUUUUUCCUCGUUAAUUCGCUGUGUAUUCGCGUGGUUUUGGUGUCUCGGGCAAGCCGAAGGAGGAAAAUAUCGAAUUUUCUUUUACAAGUGUCUUGCAAGAAAGUCUGUGUUGUUUGUUGAGGCGGUUGAAAAAUUCAAGGUUAUUUUUCAGGGGUCAUUCUAAGUUUCAGAUCAGCAAUCAUGGCCAUGCAACAAUAUUGUCUUCGAUGGAAUAACCACCAACCCAACUUCAUAUCUGUGUUUUCUAGUCUUCUAAGUAACGAAUCUCUUGUUGAUGUCACUCUGGCUGCUGAAGGAAAGCACCUUCAAGCUCAUAAAGUUGUUUUGUCCGCUUGUAGUUCAUAUUUUCAGUCAUUGUUUACUGUAAACCCUUGCCAACAUCCCAUCGUGAUCCUGAAGGAUGUUAAAUUCAUAGAUCUAAAAAUAAUGGUAGAUUUUAUGUACUACGGCGAGGUGAAUGUGUCACAAGAACAGCUUCCAUACAUACUCAAAACAGCAGAAAUGUUGAAAAUAAAAGGUCUAGCCGAAAUUCCAAUGGAACAAACUAUUAACAAGACAACCAGUAUGGACAAAACUGAACUUCUAACUGCACAAGAUUCAAACUGGAGCUCGGAUGGAAUGCCUUUGCAAACAUCAACUCCUUCACCCUGUAGUCCCGGCAGCAGGAGAAAAAGGUUAAGAAAGUCUUCAUCGGGUUCAGGCUCAGGAGAAAGACAGGAGCCUGUAAUAGAACCACCACAGAAUGAACUGAUUUUAAGUCAAAACAUUCUUAGUUCUGUUAUAAAGUCUGAUCCAGGAGGGUACCCAGAUAACAGUGUUACACAGAAAAGCAGGGAUUCUACAGACUUGCAAAGAGGAGGUUCACAUGAAAGUGUGGAGGGAGAUACAUUGCAUCAAAUAACAUUGCAAGUUCCUCAGCAUCAACAACAUCAACAAGAUGUUGCUUUGCAACACAGUAUAGAAAGUCAAUCAACGUCAUCAGAGAUUCCAGGUACUUCUAGUAAUGUUCAACAUCAACCAUCUCAGCCUAUUACAGACAAAGGUACCACCGUGGAACAGAUCAUGCAACAGAACCAGCCCCCGAUGGGUACCAAAAGGGGGCGAUUUCUGAUGCGGCAACCCCGUAUCAAACGGGAGAGCGAUUCCAGCCAGCCCUCCGACUCAGAGGCACCGUCCCUGCACUACCUGAGCGUACCGUCUUCCGGGAGGAUGGAACGACAGCAUUCUGAUCCCUUGCCAGCGUCGCUAUCGCCGCCCCCUGGGAAUCUGCUGGCCAUACCGGGGGCGGUACUGGUCAAGCAGCACUCGCAUCCGCUGUUGCCCAGUCAGAUACAACAGCCUCUAUCACCACCGCUCAAUAUCCAUCUGAGUCGCCAUAGCGAUACAGAUCCAGCCGAAAGAGCUAUCAGUCCGGUGGUGGUGGUCAGCGCAAGCGCUCAAGCCUCCUACCCUGACCUCUCCAGGUCAGACGUAGCCGAGGUAGCACCGACGCAGAUCCUCAGGGUGAGGACAGAUGAACUGAAAAGAAGUGCAUCAUCGCCCCAGAGUAGUACGCGUUCUAGUCAUUGUCCAGUGAUCAGGCCCGGACCUGCACUAGGCUGUAACUAUUGUUGGAACACUGUGGACACUCACGGGAGGAUACUGAGGAGGAAGACGAAGUACCACUGUCCGGAGUGUCAGACGAACUUGUGCAUAGUGCCCUGCUUUCAGGAGUACCACGAAAGACACAGUAAGUACAUUUGGAAGAUAAUAUAUAAUUAUUACAAGUUUGUUUUAAUGAUUGGCUAUAAUAUUAACAAAAAUCAAUCAAGGACUUAUAUCGCCUGGUCUAGAAGCAUGGACUUUUGUAUAAAGGUUCUUUGUGUAACGUAAUUUGGCACCAAGAAGGGAUUUUCGAAAUUUCAGUUCCUAAGGGGAUGAAAUUAGGGGGUUCUUCGUAACUCUUGGUUUUCUAAGCAUACAAAUUGGCAGAAAGGUUCUUUCAAAUGACAUUAAUUUUUGCGAGAAAGUGAUGGGAUGAAAAUUUGUAUGAAAAUUUUGAACAAGGGUUCAUAGAGUGACAUCAGGUACUUCACACGCGGACCCCGUAACACUAACUAGUUCGGUGAUGAAAAUGUUCCCAAAAACCAACACUAUGUAACACUAAAAAAAAACGAAAUCAGUUCAAAAAUCAGUGUUUUUUCGAGAAAAAAAGCGUUUGGUGCGCGCAAAUCGCCGUCUAAGGUGAUAGGAAGCUUUGGUGAUAAGGGUGGUACGGCCUAAGAUGGUUAUAAAUGUAUUUGUGAUAUGAUUAAAGUGAAAGAAGAAAGUAUUAACGACUAGUUUUGCUGUUUUGAGCUCUGUGGUACUAUAGGAUUUAUUCGAAGAUGGAUCUUGUUUGAUCUUUUUUCAAAAUUUUAAGAAUCUCUAUUUAUUUAUAUGUAUAGUAUAUUUUUUAUGAGGAAAAAAUGCAUCUAUUGUGUAAUCCAAGAUAAAACUGGCAGAAGUAUUGCUCAGGAAAAGAAGAAUAAUAUUUAGGUUAAGAAUUUGGCGAGUACUACACAAAAAUUGGUAUUUUUUGAAGUUGUUAAUUAUUAUUAAUAUCAAUCCCUUUUACUUGCUGAGGUGGAGGAAAACAGAAACUUGUAUUUUAUCUCUCUGUCUGGAGAUAAAAAUAAUUUGUAUUUUUUGUACGAAUUUUUGUACAUAUAUGGGGGUGUCCCACUUAAAAUGGA